AUAAGAUGACAUCUCCAUUCAUAUUCCCCAGAUUUUGAGUUCAUUAAAUAUAUAAUUUUUUAACCAAAGAGGGGGGAAAUGAAAGUUGAUCUUACUAAAAACCUACAUAACAGAAAAAAUAAAUUAUCAAACAGAAAGAGAAAUAAAUUUACAACAUUAUACCUAUAUCUUUCCCCAGUGACCCAUCUAAGGUAACUGUUGUAAAAGUCAAGGAUUUAAGACAAACAGUUGCAAUAGAAACUGGGUAUAAUGAUUUAAAUGCCUAGUUAAAAUGGAUCAAAUAUUCUGUCCACACCCUAAUAAGAGUGAUUGUUACCCCUGUGUGACAGGAAGACCAGAGAUCCAAACAGCUCCCUUUCCACUUGGAUAGUCUAUAAAUCCUAUGGGCAUGCACUGUAUGGUAGUUCUCUUCCAGGAGACCAUGGCAUGGGGAAAUAAAUCGUGCAAGACCCUAUCCUUGCUUUUCUCUAACAUGAGAGGUCUUGUGGUUCAGCCCCCGAGGAUCAUGAGGCCACCAGCCUCUGACAUCCAUUUUACCUUGUGUCUCUCUAGACGGGAGGAGAAGGUAGCAUCUCUUGGAAACACAACAGGAUACAAUCAAAGCCUGGUCUUCAAGAAGCUACAGGAUCAGUCUUCCCUCUCCAUACCCUGAGAAGACAUCUGGAGGAGUCUGUGGAAAAUCACCAUGAACAAGAAGGCUCUCAGCAGAUGUGUCCUCUCUAUCUCAGACUUCUCAACCUCCAUAACUGUCAAGGGCAUGCAAAGUAAAUGAAGACUGGAAUACUGUUGCAGAUUGGACAGGACCUGAUGCAUAAGGCAGACCCUGUGAUGGUGGCCAAUGAUCCCUACCUCCUGGUAUACACAACCUGCAUUACCUUUUUAUCCUGUAGGUGUGGGGACAAUGGAGGAAUUGUCAGUAGCCUGGAAGCAAUAUAAUACAGACAAAGAAGUGGAUCCCAAAAGAGAGCUCUUAGGAACCCUCAAAGAGCACCAAGAGGACAACUGAGGUACCCCCCAGGUUGAGCCCAUAACUGGAACCUGUAAGUUGUCUCUCAGAUUCUGAAGCUCCACAGAGUUGCUUUGUAAGCUCUCCAAAUUUGAUUUAGGAAAUGCUUGAAUUUAACUUGUUUGAAAGUUUCAAUUGUUCUGAGUCUGGAAUCUGAAUGAAUCUUAUUAUCCUGCUUCAACAUACAAGGUGGCUACAUAUGGGCACCACUAUGUCUGAUUGAUUUUUUCUAUCCUUUUGUGGAGAUGGGGUUCUUGAUUUGUUGCUUGGAUUGGUGUCAGACUCUUGGCCUGGUAUAGUGCUCUCACUUUGGCCUCCAAAAGUGCUGGGAUUGCAGGCAUAAGCCAUAACUCUUUCUCCUCAAUCAUAUAUCUUGAAUCCCUUUUAUAAAAUAUUUUCUAUGUAUACAAAAAGAAAAUUUUGUUAAUAAACUUGUCUGAGAGAAAGGACUGAGACACUAGAAACUCUUGCCACAGUUUGAAAUUUACAUGACAAGUCUUACCUUUGUUUAGUGUACUUUUCCUGGGUAUCUUACCUAAACUGAAAAUGUGCAUGUAACCUAUUUUUCUUUCUUAUAUUAUUAUUUUUUUCUUGAUAGGAGCACAUGAAGGUACAACAUUUAGGCUUAAAAUCUUAGCUCUGUAUUUUGAAAUGUAAUUUUUCUGCCUGGUUUUAUCUAGGAGUCUUCUUCUUAGAAGGGAAAUUAUUGCCUAGCUAACAAUUGCUUACAGCAAUAAAAUAGGUAAAUAAAUGAUUGAGAGUCUCAAUUUAAAACAUAUAUAUAUUUUUAAAAGGUGACAAAUAAAAAUUCUGCUUCUGUCUGUAUGCUUGCAUGUUUCUGUGUCUCUGUUUCAUGUGUAUUGGCAUUUCACUCCCAAAAUAUAUAAAAAUGCAAUAGUUAAUUGACUUAAAAAAUAAGCACUUAACUGAAAUAUCUUAUCAGGAAUGUGGGAAAGAACUCAAAUGCCUUCUAAUUCACAUGAUUUUGGUAACAUUUGGUAAAAAGAACUAGUUUUAAAACUGUUAUUAAAGUUUAGAUGUGUUAACAUCAUAAUGGUAAGGAAGACUCUCAUCAAUCUAAUAUGAACCUACUAUGUGGCUUCUGCAAUCAUACUUAUAUUUUGCAUCAGCCAGCUGAGACCCCACCGCUCAGAAGACCCUCACCUAAUACUAACAUAUUACCUGGCUUCACCAAUUGCAUCAGCCACCUGAGACGCCACCCCUUGGACUCCCUCAACCUGAUAAAUGUGGAAAAACCCCAGUAAUUGGGGCUCAGAAUUUGGUGGUGAGAUCCCUUUGAGUGUGCCAGCGAAUAAACCUUGAUUCUCUGACUCUCCA